UACGAAGGGGGCUAGCGUUGCUCGGAAUCACUGGGCGUAAAGCGCACGUAGGCGGAUUGUUAAGUCAGGGGUGAAAUCCUGGAGCUCAACUCCAGAACUGCCUUUGAUACUGAGAAGCUUGAGUCCGGGAGAGGUGAGUGGAACUGCGAGUGUAGAGGUGAAAUUCGUAGAUAUUCGCAAGAACACCAGUGGCGAAGGCGCUCACUGGCCCGGUACUGACGCUGAGGUGCGAAAGCGGUGGGGAGCAAACAGGGAUUAAGAAACCC
rnacentral:rRNA from 1 species